rnacentral:rRNA from 1 species
UACGGAGGGUGCGAGCGUUGUCCGGAAUCACUGGGCGUAAAGCGCGUGUAGGCGGUCCGGUAAGUCGGCUGUGAAAGUCCAGGGCUCAACCCUGGGAUGCCGGUCGAUACUGCCGGACUAGAGUUCGGAAGAGGCGAGUGGAAUUCCCGGUGUAGCGGUGAAAUGCGCAGAUAUCGGGAGGAACACCAAUGGCGAAGGCAGCUCGCUGGGACGUUACUGACGCUGAGACGCGAAAGCGUGGGGGAGCAAACAGG